rnacentral:rRNA from 1 species
AGCAAUACAUGCUGACGAGCGGCAGACGGGUGAGGAACACGUACGCAACUUUCCUCAAACCGGGGCACAACCUUGAGAAAUCAGGGCUAAUUCCCCAUAACAUUGCAAGAGGGCAUCUGAUUGCAAUUAAAGAUUCGUCGGUUUGAGAUGGGCGUGCGUUCGAUUAGCUAGUUGGUAAGGUAACGGCUUACCAAGGCAACGAUCGAUAGCUGGUGUGAGAGCACGACCAGCCACACGGGCACUGAGAUACGGGCCCGACUCCUACGGGAGGCAGCAGUAAGGAAUAUUGGUCAAUGGACGAAAGUCUGAACCAGCCAUGCCGCGUGAGGGAUGAAGGUCCUCUGGAUUGUAAACCUCUUUUAUCUAUGAAGAAAUGUCCUGUUUCUACGGGAUUUGACGGUAAUAGAUGAAUAAGCACCGGCUAACUCCGUGCCAGCAGCCGCGGUAAUACGGAGGGUGCAAGCGUUAUCCGGAUUUACUGGGUUUAAAGGGUGCGUAGGUGGGUUGGUAAGUCAGUGGUGAAAUACUUUCGCUUAACGAAGGAACUGCCAUUGAUACUACCAGUCUUGAAUACAGUGGAGGUAGGCGGAAUGCGUCAUGUAGCGGUGAAAUGCUUAGAUAUGACGCAGAACACCAAUUGCGAAGGCAGCUUGCUACACUGUUAUUGACACUGAGGCACGAAAGC